rnacentral:lncRNA from 1 species
AUUGAACGUGUUCAUUCAUUUUGACUACUUUAGUAUAUUUUCUCAUACUAAUUUCUACUCUACCUUCCCGGAGUUCAUUCUCCGGGUAACUCCAUUUAAAUUAUUCUGGUGGAUUCUUUCCAAUCUACUUCCUUUAUGAUUUCGUUCGAAAUCAUAUAAAGACAAUUCCUAUUUGAUAUAGCUAUUUGUGCAAGUAUUUUACGGUUAAGAAGCAACUGUCUCUUGUACAGAUCGUGUAUUAAUCUACUAUAACUAUAGGAUACUCCCCUUUCGCGAAUUACUGCGUUUAUCCUAGUGAUCCACAAACGACGAAAAUCUCUCUUUUUCCUAUCCCUAUCCCGAUGAGCCGAAACUAAAGCUCUUAUUUUCUGUUGAGUAAUAGUUCUAGUAAGCCUUGAAUGAGCCCCUCGAAAGCUUGAUGCAAAUAAACGAAUUUUUGUUCUACGUCUCCGAGCUAUAUAUCCCCGUUUAAUUCUGGUCAUUGAAUAAAUGAAACUUUGACGAAUAACUAAUUGAUUGCCUUUCUUUCAGUUAUUCUUUUCCCCCUUCCUAGUCUAUUAAUAACAAAACGGAUUUUUCCAAUGUAUAAAAUCAAAAUUCCAAUGGCUUUGGCUACUCUAACCUUCCCGACCACGAUUUUUUUUAGGUAUUUCACUGCGAAAUAAGACAGAACUAAGAAAUUGUAUUUUCCUAGGUAUCAAAAAUAUAGUAAAUAAAAGAAAUAAAAAAAGAAAUAGUGGGUUCCUUCGUUUCUAUGGUUACUUCUUAAACGGUGAGGUCUUCUCUAUACACCGGAGCCUUUACUUUAUACUUUAAUUUUUAAUAUUUAAUCAACUAAUUGAUGUUAUUGGGAACUUGUAUAGUUCACACGCUUUGGCUCUACCCAUGAAUUGUCCAGUAAUAGGUCUUUCACAAUCAGAUCUACCUAUACAGUAACGGUAUUUAAUUAUGAAAGUUUGCUGGGUAGCUGACCCUCUUAGUCCGUUCUUGCCAGAUUGGGAGCCUACCUAAUCUUUAUGUUUUAUGCUUUUUAAAUAAGAUUUCCUCCGCUUAAUGGAUAACCAUUUGUUACCAAUGGAGAAUUUCUUAUCAUCUUAAAUUCAGGUGAUUGGAUUUACACCAACGGAAACCAUAAACUUCAUACACAAUAGAGGGAUAUGGUAGAGUUUUUUUUUUAUAAUGGAUGGAGUUCCUUUUUCCAUCCUAUCCCAUUCACCGGUACUGAUCAUUGAUACUGUAAAAGUAGUUUUCUUGCUUUUUGUGCCAGCUCAUGAUCUAAACGAGUCGCACAUACACCCUAGUACAUGUUCCUCGACGCUGAGGGCACCCCCGAAGAGCGGGGGAUUUCGUGACAUUUCUGAUUGGCUGUCUUGUAUUUCUAAUAAGUUGUUUAAUAGUUGGCAUGUUGAAUCGUAUACAUAAUAUGAUGGGUUGGUUUAGAUUGAUCCUAACCGAAUGAUGGUGAAUUACUUCUAUUUAAUAGAAUAUUCAAUUCGAAGAUAAAAUCUCAAAUCAUAGAUCUGCGUGAAAUCCAUGUUCUUUUCCUUGAACCGCUACAAAAUCAACAAUUCCAUAAGCUUGGGCUUCUGUUGCUGACAUAAAAAUAUCUCUUUCCAUAUCUUCGUGUAUAACCCACACGGGUUGGCCCGUUUUUUCUGCAUAAACCCUUGUGAGGGUUUCACGCAGUUUCGCCAUUUCUAUCGCUUCCAGGACAAAUUCGCCUACUUGUGCCAUAUAAAAACCACUAUAAGGUUCAUGUAUCAUUACCCUGAUGAUAUAACAAAAUAAAAGCUUCCCCUAUCUCGCAUGAUAAAGCAAAGAAAAAAGAAAGAUAAAGAAUAGAAAAAAGAUAGAAUUGAACAACCGUACAGGCAUCUUUUGUGCAUACGGCUCUACAAGAAAAUUGACCCCCAUUGAAGAAAGAGAAAAAUAGAAUCUAUCAGACUCAGAUGGGUAAAUAAUCAAAUUGCCAUCCUUCCUUUCGGAGGAAUUCAAAAAUACUAUGAUGGCUCCGUUGCUUUAUAUGUUUAUUUUUUCUUUUUUUUGUCUGUGAUUCAGCAAUCCCAAAGUUUCUUUUUAAUCCGAUCAAAUAAGGAAAAAUUAUUUUUUUUUCGUACUCUUUCAUAACAUAAAUAUUGUUAAGAACUCUCCGGCAUGAAAACAAAAAGUUUGUGACGCUGAACUGAACUCCCGAUAUAUAAUAGAAAAUCGGAAAUACCCCUUAUCUCAUACUACUCUCUCGAUACAGAAUCUAAUGUUUUGAAAAAAAAAAACAAUACAAAAAUUUCUCAUAUCGAAUUCGAAGUGCCAUGCUAUUAUUACUUAGUAUUCAUAUGGCGAAGGCAUAGUCUUCUUUUUUCUCUCAAAUAAAAACCUCAUUGGCGCCAAGCGUGAGGGAAUGCUAUACGUUUGGUAAGUUGUCCUCCGGCCAGGAUAAAAGAUCCCAUUGAAGCAGCUAAUCCUAGGCAUAUUGUAUGGAUAUCUGGUCGCACAAAUUGCA